UACGAAGGGGGGCUAGCGUUGCUCGGAAUCACUGGGCGUAAAGGGUGCGUAGGCGGGUCUUUUAAGUCAGGGGUGAAAUCCUGGAGCUCAACUCCAGAACUGCCUUUGAUACUGAGGAUCUUGAGUUCGGGAGAGGUGAGUGGAACUGCGAGUGUAGAGGUGAAAUUCGUAGAUAUUCGCAAGAACACCAGUGGCGAAGGCGGCUCACUGGUCCAUUACUGACGCUGAGGUGCGAAAGCGUGGGGAGCAAACAGG
rnacentral:rRNA from 1 species